rnacentral:rRNA from 1 species
AUUGAACGCUGGCGGCAUGCUUUACACAUGCAAGUCGAACGGCAGCACGGGUGCUUGCACCUGGUGGCGAGUGGCGAACGGGUGAGUAAUGCAUCGGAACGUAUCCAAUAAUGGGGGAUAACGCACCGAAAGGUGUGCUAAUACCGCAUACGCCCUGAGGGGGAAAGUGGGGGACCGUAAGGCCUCACGUUAAUGGAGCGGCCGAUGCCUGAUUAGCUAGUUGGUGAGGUAAAGGCUCACCAAGGCGACGAUCAGUAGCUGGUCUGAGAGGACGACCAGCCACACUGGGACUGAGACACGGCCCAGACUCCUACGGGAGGCAGCAGUGGGGAAUUUUGGACAAUGGGCGCAAGCCUGAUCCAGCCAUGCCGCGUGAGUGAAGAAGGCCUUCGGGUUGUAAAGCUCUUUCGCAAGGAAAGAAAACUUAUCCCCUAAUACGGGAUGAGGAUGACGGUACCUUGAUAAGAAGCACCGGCUAACUACGUGCCAGCAGCCGCCGUAACAC